CAAUUAAACAGUAAGUCUCGGGUGUUUCUUCAAAUUAAGACCCUGUGGUUUUGAGUCACGUAGUUCUUUAUUGUACUUUUCCUCAUCAUGUGAGUGUGAGUCACUGCGGUUUGACACUGCACACACAGUGCAGACACUCUCAUCACAACAGGAGGGGGAAAUGUACUGUGGUAGUAACACACAAAAACGUGACGGACGGGUGUGGGGUGUUUUCUUUCUCACUACCUUCAAACCGAAGUAAGAUCUGAACUGAUAGCUUUGUGAUACAGAUAAGCAAAAGUCAAAUCUUGCACGUCACAAACUGAGUUCCAGAGGCCUAUAAAGCACCACGUCCAUGGCACCUGUCACGUACAGUAUAUGAAUUGCCUUGAGAGGUAGAAACAAACAAAGAAGUUGGCCAGGUAAUACAUUAUUCCCUUCAUCUGUCACAUACUGGUAACAACGGCAAUAUUUUGUAUGUGUUUUUUUUUUUUUUCAGAAAUCUUCAUAGCAUAGGUUCCAAGUUUGCAUAGUGUCCAAUAUAACUGUUAUACACGGUCCUAAAUUGUUUUUAACUGUUUAUCAAUGCCAUCAAUAGAUUAAGAUCAAAUUGGGUAGUAACAAUCCAUCAAGAUUAUGUAAAGAGCACUGUAAAUUAUUUUUUUCUUAAAAAAAGAACUGACAUUUUUUUAAUUUUCCGUUUUUACAAUCACCAGAUGAAAAGGAAGCUUUACCAAUGCAGUCUGUGCAUUUUUACACUUUUCAUGUCGUCAGAUUUUCGACAUAUACUCAAUCAUCACCCACAUUUGACCUUCAAAGUCAAAGAAUAUUCUCACCUUUUUCAUAUUAAAUUGUUAUGAGCUGUU